UACGGGGGGGCAAGCGUUGUCCGGAAUUAUUGGGCGUAAAGGGCUCGUAGGCGGUUUGUCGCGUCGGGAGUGAAAUCCACUGGCUUAACUGGUGGCUUGCUUUCGAUACGGGCAGACUGGAGGUAUGCAGGGGAGAACGGAAUUCCUGGUGUAGCGGUGAAAUGCGCAGAUAUCAGGAGGAACAGCCGAUGGCGAAGGCAGGUCUCUGGGCAUUAACUGACGCUGAGGAGCGAAAGCAUGGGGAGCGAACAG
rnacentral:rRNA from 1 species